UGGGGAAUAUUGCACAAUGGAGGGAACUCUGAUGCAGCGACGCCGCGUGAACGAAGAAGGCUUUCGAGUCGUAAAGUUCUUUUAUAUGGGAAGAUAAUGACGGUACCAUAAGAAGAAGCCCCGGCUAACUACGUGCCAGCAGCCGCGGUAAUACGUAGGGGGCUAGCGUUGUCCGGAAUCACUGGGCGUAAAGGGUUCGCAGGCGGAAAUGCAAGUCAGGUGUAAAAGGCAGUAGCUUAACUACUGUAAGCAUUUGAAACUGCAUAUCUUGAGAAGAGUAGAGGUAAGUGGAAUUUUUAGUGUAGCGGUGAAAUGCGUAGAUAUUAAAAAGAAUACCGGUGGCGAAGGCGACUUACUGGGCUCAUUCUGAUGCUGAGGAACGAAAGCGUGGGUAGCAAACAGG
rnacentral:rRNA from 1 species